rnacentral:rRNA from 1 species
UACGUAGGGUGCAAGCGUUAAUCGGAAUUACUGGGCGUAAAGCGUGCGCAGGCGGUGAUGUAAGACAGUUGUGAAAUCCCCGGGCUCAACCUGGGAACUGCAUCUGUGACUGCAUCGCUGGAGUGCGGCAGAGGGGGAUGGAAUUCCGCGUGUAGCAGUGAAAUGCGUAGAUAUGCGGAGGAACACCGAUGGCGAAGGCAAUCCCCUGGGCCUGCACUGACGCUCAUGCACGAAAGCGUGGGGAGCAAACAGGAUUAGAA